rnacentral:rRNA from 1 species
AUUGAACGCUGGCGGAAUGCUUUACACAUGCAAGUCGAGCGGCAGCACGGGGGCAGCCCUGGUGGCGAGUGGCGAACGGGUGAGUAAUACAUCGGAACGUGCCCGGUCGUGGGGGAUAACGUAGCGAAAGUUACGCUAAUACCGCAUACGAUCUGAGGAUGAAAGCGGGGGACCUUCGGGCCUCGCGCGAUCGGAGCGGCCGAUGUCAGAUUAGGUAGUUGGUGGGGUAAAGGCCUACCAAGCCGACGAUCUGUAGCUGGUCUGAGAGGACGACCAGCCACACUGGGACUGAGACACGGCCCAGACUCCUACGGGAGGCAGCAGUGGGGAAUUUUGGACAAUGGGCGCAAGCCUGAUCCAGCCAUUCCGCGUGCAGGACGAAGGCCUUCGGGUUGUAAACUGCUUUUGUACGGAACGAAAAGGCUCUGGCUAAUACCUGGGGCUCAUGACGGUACCGUAAGAAUAAGCACCGGCUAACUACGUG